rnacentral:tRNA from 1 species
AAAUAAGAAACAAAAUUUUGUACUUAGUUUCGACCUAAGAUUUUGAUCCUUAAGAUCCUUAUUUU